AAGAAAAACACCAAACGAACCCUUAAGUCCAAAAUAUUUCACCGCCAAUUUCAAAUUCUCCAGCUGUCUUCUCCAUUUUCGGCUAAGGUCCAGUGACUUUAAGCUUUCGCAGUCAUUGCUGGCCUAUUUCAAGUAAAGAAUUUAUGGGUUUUGUUUUCUUCCUCACAAAGAGGAUAAUUUUCAUCGGUAAUAAUUGUUUUUUUCAAAUAUGAUUUAGCUUUUAGCUUUUAUCUUUUUCUUUUCUAAUAUAAUCAGUGGAAUGAAAAACGAAUUUCAAGUCUGGAUUUUGUCCCACAUCAUUUCAAAAUGAAAAAACCCUAGCAGUUGGGGCUCUAUAAAUAGAACCCUCAAUUCUCAUUCAUACACGAUUUUUUUUUUGGAGAUCAAAAAUUGGUUUUUAUACCAAUAGUGGGUUUUUGACAACUGCAAGAGUGAGAACACUCAGAAAUCCGGCUAAGCCAUGAGUUUCGAGGACGUUCUCGCUCAUGUUUAAUUUUUUGGUAGUCGUUUUAAUCGAUUUGGGUGAAAGGUCAACCCUCGUUGCCCCCGUCACUGCUCGGCAAAAAGGUAGAAACAGAUGAUAUACUUGAUAAAAAAUACCACUGAGUUGAACAUAAUACUACACUUGGGCCGAUGAAAACAUUUAAUUUGAGGCCAUGCCUUGUUUGGAAAGGUUAUCCCUCGGUUUAGGCAAUGAUGAUCUCAUAGUAUAGUAAUAAAGUAGGAUCCAAUAUGCAUUUGGAAAGGCGACCAGAAUGAUUGACGAGUCACUAGUUCGCAGCCACGACAUGUUCUCCCCAUAUUAAAAAGAAACAUGAGUCUGAGCUUCCGUAAUCAAAGCUCUCAAAGUUUGAUACGAGUUCGAGGGAUAUUAUUAUUUAUGUUCCUAAACAUCACCCUAUGGGGUAGCGUAUCAUUUUGACUAACUACUUUUCUUCUCAUCGUGUGAGGUACCAAUAAAACAAGCACGGAAAGCAAAGCUUAAGGACAAAGUAAAAGGAUCGGAUGUUUAGAGCUUCAGACGAACAGUAGAAAAGUACAGGAUUUGGGCUUAAGGCCGACAAAGCUAAACUUUCUUCCCUUCUUUAUUUUUUGUAUAAAACAUAUUUUAUAUGUUUACAUUCACUUGGUGGGAACAUGCAUUUUUUUGUAAAUUGUAUAGAUAUUGAAACCCUUAUAAAUUGGAACCUAGGAUUCGGGUAGACGAUAUUUCAAAUUGUACCCGAACGAUAAAAGAGUUGUAUUCCAUUUGAUUAAAGUAACUAAAAGUGAAAGAAUGUUUUCUUGAACAAAAA